CGGGGGGCAGCAGUCGAGAAUCUUCGGCAAUGGACGAAAGUCUGACCGAGCGACGCCGCGUGCGGGAUGAAGGUCUUCGGAUUGUAAACCGCUGUCAGAGGGGAUGAAAUAUACGAGAGCUAUCUCUUGUAUUUGACAGAGCCUCAGAGGAAGCACGGGCUAAGUUCGUGCCAGCAGCCGCGGUAAUACGAACUGUGCGAACGUUAUUCGGAAUCACUGGGCUUAAAGGGUGCGUAGGCGGUUUUCUAAGUCAGGUGUGAAAUCUUCCGGCUCAACCGGAAAACUGCGCCUGAGACUGGAUAACUUGAGUGAGGUAGGGGUGUGUGGAACUUCCGGUGGAGCGGUGAAAUGUGUAGAGAUCGGAAGGAACGCCAGCAGCGAAAGCGGCACACUGGGCCUUGUCUGACGCUGAGGCACGAAAGCUAGGGUAGUGAACGGGAUUAGAUACCCCGGU
rnacentral:rRNA from 1 species